AAGUAAAAUCGUAACAAGGUCUCCGUUGGUGAACCAGCGGAGGGAUCAUUAAAGAGUUAAAAACAACUCCUAAACCCAUGUGAAACCUACCUUUGUUGCCUCGGCAGGUCUGCAACUUACCCUGAGGGUACCUACCCUGUAGGUACCUUACCCGGUAGUUGCGGGCAUAACCUGCCGGUGGUCUACUAAACUCUGUUUACUAUGUCAUUCUGAAUAAUAUAAAUAAAUAAGUUAAAACUUUCAACAACGGAUCUCUUGGUUCUGGCAUCGAUGAAGAACGCAGCGAAAUGCGAUAAGUAAUGUGAAUUGCAGAAUUCAGUGAAUCAUCGAAUCUUUGAACGCACAUUGUGCCCAUUAGUAUUCUAGUGGGCAUGCCUGUUCGAGAGUCAUUUCAACCCUUAAGCCGUGUUGGUUAGUGUUGGGAGCCUACAGAUACCGUCUGUAGUUCCUUAAAGUUGGUGGCGGAGUCGGUUUCACACUCUAGACGUAGUAAAUUUUAUCUCGCCUAUAGAUGAGCCGGUCCCUUGCCGUAAAACCCCCUAAUUUCUAAAGGUUGACCUCGGAUCAGGUAGGAAUACCCGCUGAACUUAAGCAUAUCAAUAAGCAGAGGAAAAGAAACCGACAGGGAUUGCCCUAGUAACGGCGAGUGAAGCGGCAACUGCUCAAAUUUGAAAUCUGGCCUUCGGGUCCGAGUUGUAAUUUGUAGAGGAUGCUUGUGGCGCGGUGCCUUCCGAGUUCCCUGGAACGGGACGCCUUACAGGGUGAGAGCCCCGUACGAGUUGGACA
rnacentral:rRNA from 1 species